CAGGCAACCGUAUAGAUCAGUUCAAGGACCCUCUAAAAGAAGGUUAUAUACCAUAGAGAGCUUCAUCUUUGAAGAUGCACGCAAGAAAUACAGGACAGCGGAUCAACAAUAUAGAUUCAAAUUUACUCAGCGCACAAAGGUCCACCUCUGGGAAAAAAAAGGUAGGCCAAAGCAUUGGCUACUACACCCAGCAAGAAGCACAUCAACAAAGAGCUCUUCCGACGAUAGCAAAAGUCAGCCAAAAAAGGGCCAGCUUAGCUAAAAAAUCCAAGACAGAGAAGGAAUGAAGCAGCAAAGACAAAGACUGAGCGCCUUGGAAGAUUAUCCAUGUUUAGAUGCUCUUUGAUAGUCUGCUAAUAUAGUUUGUGUUGACACAUUGGUAAAGAAAGCAUAUGAAGAAUGGAUGCAUGAUGUAGGAUACGAUGGUAAGGCACUCCAGAGCUUCAAGCACAAUCUGUCACAACCACAAGUGAUACAACAGCAGCUUCAACAAGUAACCAUGCUUCACAUGGUCCGGUCAAUGCAUAGAAACAAUUAUUUGCAGGAAAAGUUAGCCAAACUUCCAAAGGUAAUACAAGGAAAGACCUGCUAAUCUACGUUCGGUCUCUAGGAAUAAACACUUCUAUUAUACUGUAGUAUUAAGUGCCCAUCAGGCAAAUAAUUAAAUUACCUUUGUUGUGCUACUAUGUUCUUUAUUAUACUUCGUUUCUUUGAACUUCCAACUAUUAAGUUUCUGCUAGGCAAGCAUGUGUACUUAUGUUAGAUGGAACAUGAUUAUGUUAGAUGGAACAUAAGGGAACAUAUUC